rnacentral:misc_RNA from 1 species
GAUCAUUACUGAAGAACGGGGUAAGGUUGAGCUGGCUUCUAGGAGCAAAUGUGCUUGCCUUAUCGCUUUUUCUACUCUCCACUGUGCACCUCUUGUAGGCUAUGAUAAACCCUCAGUCCCUUCGACUGGAUGGAGGACCUGCCGUUUGGCUUGCCCCUCACCCUUUCAUAGCCUAUGUCUACAUAACACACACGAGUCUUUUUGAAUGUAAACUUUGUUGGUCUUCACUGACCGAUAAAACUAUAUACAACUUUCAGCAACGGAUCUCUUGGCUCUCGCAUCGAUGAAGAACGCAGCGAAAUGCGAUAAGUAAUGUGAAUUGCAGAAUUCAGUGAAUCAUCGAAUCUUUGAACGCACCUUGCACUCCUUGGUAUUCCGAGGAGUAUGCCUGUUUGAGUGUCAUUAACUUCUCAAACCUUUCAAGCUUUUUAUGGCUUGUUAAAGGCUUUGGAUGUGAGGGUCUUUGCUGGGUACUCUUUUUGAGGGUCAGCUCCCUUGAAAUGCAUUAGUGGUUACUUGAUCCGCUUUCAUUUGGUGUGAUAGUUAUCUACGCCUUUGAAAUGGUCACUUUGCUAUCCGCUCCUAACCGGUCUGUCUUGUCUAUAGACGGACUCUUGAACCUUUUGACCUCAAAUCAGGUAGGACUACCCGCUGAACUUAAGCAUAUCAAUAAGCGGAGGAAAAGAAACUAACAAGGAUUCCCUUAGUAACUGCGAGUGAACAGGGAAAAGCUCAAAUUUAAAAUCUGGCAGUCGUUUGGCUGUCCGAGUUGUAAUUUAGAGAAGUGUUACCCGCGCUGGACCGUAUACAAGUCCUCUGGAAUGGGGCGUCAUAGAGGGUGAGAAUCCCGUCUUUGAUACGGACUACCAGUGCUUUGUGGUGUGCUCUCGAAGAGUCGAGUUGUUUGGGAAUGCAGCUCMAAAUGGGUGGUAAAUUCCAUCUAAAGCUAAAUACAGGCGAGAGACCGAUAGCGAACAAGUACCGUGAGGGAAAGAUGAAAAGAACUUUGGAAAGAGAGUUAAACAGUACGUGAAAUUGCUGAAAGGGAAACGCUUGAAGUCAGUCGCGUUGGCUGAGAAUCAGCCUUGCUUUUACUUGCUUGGUGUACUUCUCAGUCGAUGGGUCAGCAUCAGUUUUGACUGCUGGAUAAAGCUCAAGGGAAUGUGGCAUCUUCGGAUGUGUUAUAGCCCAUGUUCGUAUACAGCAGUUGGGACUGAGGAACUCAGCACGCCGCAAGGCCGGGUUUUUAACCACGUACGUGCUUAGGAUGCUGGCAUAAUGGCUUUAAUCGACCCGUC